rnacentral:rRNA from 1 species
GACGAACGCUGGCGGCGUGCUUAACACAUGCAAGUCGAACGAAGUGGCGACCGGGUGAGUAACGCGUAAUCAACCUGCCCUUCAGCGGGGGACAACAGUUGGAAACGACUGCUAAUUCCCUAUACUGAAGGAGGGGAUUGCGUCUGAUUUGCUAGUUGGUGGGGUAACGGCCCUCCAAGGCGAUGCUCAGUAGCCGGUCGGAGAGGAGGAACGGCGACAUUUGGACUGGGACACGGCCCAGACUCCUACGGGAGGCGGCAGUGGGGAAACUUCCGUAAUGGACGAAAGUCUGACGGAGCAACGCCGCGUGGGUGAGGACGGCCUUCGGGUUGUAAAGCUCUGUUAGUCGGGACGCGGUACCGGAAUAGAAAGCCACGGCUAACUACGUGCCAGCAGCCGCGGUAAUAC